rnacentral:rRNA from 1 species
UACAGAGGUGGCAAGCGUUGUUCGGAAUUACUGGGCGUAAAGGGCGCGUAGGCGGCCUUCUAAGUCAGACGUGAAAUCCCCCGGCUUAACCUGGGAACUGCGUCUGAUACUGGGAGGCUUGAGUAUGGGAGAGGGAUGUAGAAUUCCAGGUGUAGCGGUGAAAUGCGCAGAUAUCAGGAGGAACACCGAUGGCGAAGGCAGUGGUCUGGGCCGGAACUGACGCUGAAUAGCGAAAGCGUGGGUAGCGAACAGG